rnacentral:rRNA from 1 species
GGUGGCGAGUGGCGCACGGGUGCGUAACACGUAUGCAAUUUGCCCAUAACUGGGGGAUAGCCCUCCGAAAGGAGGAUUAAUACCCCAUAACCCAGCGAGGUGGCAUCACUUUUCUGGUAAAUCUCCGGAGGUUAUGGAUGAGCAUGCGUCCGAUUAGCUAGUUGGUGAGGUAACGGCUCACCAAGGCAACGAUCGGUAGGGGGUCUGAGAGGAUGAUCCCCCACACGGGUACUGAGACACGGACCCGACUCCUACGGGAGGCAGCAGUAAGGAAUAUUGGACAAUGGAGGCAACUCUGAUCCAGCCAUGCCGCGUGAAGGAUGAAGGCCCUACGGGUUGUAAACUUCUUUUCUCUUAGAAAAAACUACUGGUUUCGUACCGGUACUGAUUGUACAAGAGGAAUAAGCAUCGGCUAACUUCGUGCCAGCAGCCGCGGUAAUACGAAGGAUGCAAGCGUUAUCCGGAUUCACUGGGUUUAAGGGGUGUGCAGGUGGGGUAAUAAGUCAGUGGUGAAAGCCCCCGACUCAAUCGGGGAACUGCCAUAGAUACUGUUAUUCUUGAGUGUGGUUGAGGCGGAUGGAAUAUGACAUGUAGCGGUGAAAUGCUUAGAUAUGUCAUAGAACACCGAUCGCGAAGGCAGUCCGCCAAACCAUUACUGACACUGAAACACGAAAGUGCGGGGAUCAAACAGGAUUAGAUACCCUGGUAGUCCGCACCGUAAACGAUGAUCACUCGUUGUUGGCGAUACACUGUCAGCGACUAAGCGAAAGCAUUAAGUGAUCCACCUGGGAAGUACGACCG